rnacentral:rRNA from 1 species
AACGAACGCUGGCGGCAGGCUUAACACAUGCAAGUCGAGCGCCCCGCAAGGGGAGCGGCAGACGGGUGAGUAACGCGUGGGAACGUACCCUUUGCUACGGGCUAGCUCCGGGAAACUGGAAUUAAUAACGUAUGUGCCCCACGGGGGACAGAUUUAUCGGCAAAGGAUCGGCCCGCGUUGGAUUUGCUAGUUGGUGGGGUACUGGCCUACCAAGGCGACGGUCCAUAGCUGGUCUGAGAGGGUGGUCAGCCACAUUGGGACUGAGACACGGCCCGAACUCCUACGGGAGGCAGCAGUGGGGAAUAUUGGACAAUGGGCGCGAGCCUGAUCCAGCCAUGCCGCGUGAGUGAUGAAGGCCUUAGGGUUGUAAAGCUCUUUCACCGGACAAGGUAAUGACGGUAUCCGGAGAGGAAGCCCCGGCUAACUUCGUGCCAGCCGCCGCCGUAACAC